GUUAAGUCCCGCAACGAGCGCAACCCUUAUCCUUUGUUGCCAGCGGUUCGGCCGGGAACUCAAAGGAGACUGCCAGUGAUAAACUGGAGGAAGGUGGGGAUGACGUCAAGUCAUCAUGGCCCUUACGAGUAGGGCUACACACGUGCUACAAUGGCGUAUACAAAGAGAAGCGACCUCGCGAGAGCAAGCGGACCUCAUAAAGUACGUCGUAGUCCGGAUUGGAGUCUGCAACUCGACUCCAUGAAGUCGGAAUCGCUAGUAAUCGUGGAUCAGAAUGCCACGGUGAAUACGUUCCCGGGCCUUGUACACACCGCCCGUCACACCAUGGGAGUGGGUUGCAAAAGAAGUAGGUAGCUUAACCUUCGGGAGGGCGCUUACCACUUUGUGAUUCAUGACUGGGGUGAAGUCGUAACAAGGUAACC
rnacentral:rRNA from 1 species